rnacentral:lncRNA from 1 species
GUGAGCAGUCAGCAGCCCAGAGGGCUGUUUGGAUAGGUGUCUGAGAAGGGGACUCAGGUAAGGGGAUCCCAAAGUGAAGUCAUUUCCUUGGCAAUAGACUCCCACAGAACUUGGAAGCUCUGUAACCAGGCACCCACAUUCCAGUGACAGUCCCAUUCCUAGCCCACUUGGCCAGAGACACUUCAGUUAGAAAUGUGUUCUCUGCUGGGCCCCUACUUAACGGGGCUCUUGCUUCGGGAAAGCCUGGAGUGAGAGUCUUUUCAGAAGCUGCAGACAUUGGUUCAACCCUCGACCCAGACACCUCUGGCCAUUUGCCAGGAGGUCCCCUAGGGUAACACAAGGCAGCCUAGGGCAGGCCAAUCCAGGCCAGGCCACCUCUGAGCACUCCCUGGGCGGCCCCACAUCCCCUCCUCUUCAGCGUCGGGGGAAGAGGGACAUGAAGGGAGGGCACACCCUGGGAAGUGAUACCUGGUGGCCCUGAGUGGUCACACUGCUGGACUGGCACGGUGGCAAGGGGAUUGCGGAGGUGUCUCUUAUCUGUGCCUGUGUGAAUCCAAGGCCCUCAGGCUGUCAUCUUUUCUGUCUCCUUGGGGGAGGUCUGUGCAGAGUGUGGUGUGUGUGUGUGUCUGAAGUGGAGACAUCUCGUGGUCUGAGAAGCAGCAAAGAGCCAGCCGGUCUGAGGCUUCUGCCUGGCUGCCGGGCACUGCCUUUCCAGAGCUCCACCCAGGAGGUGGGGCAGGCUCCUGAUCAGUGGGGUCCUCUACUCCAUCUCCCUGCAGGGGUGCAGGUGCCCCACACCUGCCACAAAGUCUGGCGCUGGCUCAUGAUUUUCCUGUUUUAACUCCUGUCCGCAGGUGUCCAUGUUGGCCUGUCAAGCCUUCCACACCUUCUCCAGGUCUUACACAUCAUCAAAACCACAUGGGCUCAUGGUACUAUGUCUGUUUCUCUGCAACUUAUCGUCUCAAGGAGCUCAUCCCCGUGGCCCCUCCAGGUCGGGGGCUGGGCUCACUUGGCUGCACAACAUUCCAGAAGGGAGACCAGGUACCACAGCGAGUCAGCCCUUCACUGAUGGGGGAGCUUGACCUGGUUCCCAUCUCUCGCCAUUUCAACAUGCCGCAUGACCAUCCUACAUGUCUUAACAUCCUGAUCCCUCCCACCCCAGGAUAAGCCUCUGUGUUCUCAUCUCUAGAAUGGGAUGUUAUAUCAGGGAUCACAGGGGUGGUGCAGGUGGUACAGAGAGGUGCUGUCAAUACUCUGCUAACAAAACAACCUUAGAUACUAAUGUAUUUAACCCUUCCCCACCUCAAAUUCUACUUUAAUACCAAGAACCCUUUUUCUGCUGAGGGCACUCAUUUCCCACCUCCUGCCACAGGUCACCUGGUUUGGAGAUUUGUUCUGAGCUCCUACCUGACUCCUGGUGUCCACAGUGCUGCUCUGGCUGCAUAUCCUUCCUCUGUCCCACCCCAUGGUGAAAAUGUGUCCACAGUGAACAGGAAUGAGACCUGCAUGGUGUGGACCGUCCAGGGAGGCAGGCCGGAAAAGCAGGUGGAGACCUGGUGCCUGUCUUCCUGGGCAGUGAUCCCUCAUACGUGCCCACCUUCCUGGGUACCUGCAGAGCUUUUGCCACCAACCAAUAGCACUUGACCUGCUGUUCAAAAGUGAGCACUUUGCCCCUUCAUGGGACACUGGUGAUUCAACCAUCUACGAGCUGUGAGCCUUCAGAAUGCCACUGCACCUCUCUGAGCCUCAGUUUGCUGCUCUGAACAGUAGGGCGAAUAGAGGAUCAAUAUCAUUGGGUUAUUGUAGGGACUAAGUGGGUCCUCCCUGGAAAGUGCUGUCUGAGUGCCUGGCCCUGUGGACCAGGACCUGUUGCAGGGCCUGUGGUUGUGCUAAUUUAUCAUUUUCCUCAUUCCCAUGAGGAAGCCUCUGCCUCAUUCAUCACUCUCCCCGUGGCCUUGGGCUGAGCUGUUUUCCCACUUGAAAAGGUGAUUGAGAUUCCCUCAGUGGGUCCUUGUUUGGACGAAGCCAGACAAAGGGUUCUUGCAGAUGUGGAUGCAUCCUCCCUUACUCUGAUGAGGAUGGCAGACCCCUAGACCAACUGAAAAAGUAAGUGGGCUUUGGUUCAAGAAGCAGCAACUCCCUUCUCCAACAAACUGCGUGGAGUUGUAGGGUUCUGUGGAUGGGGAAGGGCUGGCAGAGUACUGAAUUCCACACAUCUUAUGAUUCCUGCUUGAGGGCCAAGGUCUGAGGACUCCUCCUGGCAAAGAAGAUAGAAGUCAAAGAGAGCUGUGGGUGGGGCUGUGGGUACUGUGGGGAGCACCAGAAAGAUCAGAGGACAGAGUCAGCCCCUGAAAGAAUCCAUACCUGUCCCCUCCCCAUCCCAGCCCUGCAUUAACCCCCACCCGAGGACUCAGAACAGGAGGUGUGGAGAGCAUCCUGCUCGUGAAUCUGGUGGAACCUCAACAGUGGGUGCUCAGCUGUUGCUCAGGGUACUCAGUGAGAGCUCAGGGGCUGGCUGAACCCACACUGUGGAAGAUGAGUGGCAGUGGCAGGAGGAGACCCACAUGGAGCAUCUAGAGAAUUAGGCAGCAGGUAGAUACAGGAGGUAAAGUUUGAGAUAUUAGGAAAGCCCUGGGAAUCCUGGGCAGGAGACAGAGUCUGUUUGUUCCCUUAUUGGUCAGAUACUCAUGGAGAACUGACUGUGUCAGCAAGUGCAGUGAAUGAGCAGACAUCUCUCCCUGUCCUCAUGGAGUUGACGUACCAGUGGGGAGUGUCGGGGAGACAGAUAGACCAGUGUGUCAGGCUUCCCUGAAGAAGAAGAGAGGUAAUCACACCAUUGAUCAAGGGCUCUCAAUAUGAAGACUUUUUGCCAGCCCCUCCUUGGUGACCAGGCCUGCCUCUGCCAGGGCUGCCAGAAGUGAGUUGGACAUGGACUAGGCCUCUGGGUGGACAGGAACAGAAGGACAGAGGCCCAGAUCCCCACAGGGAUGCCCUGGGAGGGCUGUGUGGAAGGAAAGGCCAGGCUUCUGACUCUGCUGCCCACCCAACUAGCCCCCGGGCCAUAAUCUCCAUCCUGGGCACCUGAUUGGACCAGGACUCUAAGGAUUUUCACCAGCCCCCAGAAUUUCCCUACCUGAAGAUGCUAUUGUCCUAUGUAGAGCUCAACAUGCCCUGCUUGGACCUAGAGUGCCAUGCCUACCUCCUCCUGGCAAAAACCUAGAGCUUCAUGAGUCCAUUGAUGCCAAGGGUAAGGAGGACUGAGGGUGAGGAGACUUGAGUGAUGUGGGCUGUGGGGAGGGGAGAGUGUUGGGUCACACAAAGCUGAGCCUCCAGAGGCUGAGGUUGGGCGAGGAGCAAUGAGUAGCCUCAGAUCACUAUUCACCUGGACUGCAGUCUGGGAAGACCUCCUGGGGGUGCGUUCUUGGACAGAGACUUCAGUAACUGGCAGUGAGAGAUUUCCUGUCUUUGGAGGGCACAUGGAAAGGUAAUCAUGUGGAUGGUAUUUUCUUUUCUUGGAGCUACAGCACCAGCUCCACAACAAGCCCUAGAACCACUUCAAGAGCUAGCACCAGCUCCAACUCAACUGCCCACUACAGCUCCAGAGCCAGAUCAGACUCAGGCCCAGUUUUCGUUUAAGCUCUAGAGCUAGAAGAAGCAUGUACGCAGGCUCCAAUUCCAGAGCCAGAGGAAUUCAAGCAACAGCUCUCACCCAAGCUCCAUAGCUAGAACCAUCACAAAAACCUGUUCUAGUAUUUGCUCCAGAACUCUAGCCACUUCCGUCCAUAGCCUCGAUUCCAGAGCUUAAGCCUACACCAGCAAGAGCCCUACCAUUAGUUCUUGAGCUCCAUAGUGCUUUGGCACAGCUCCAGCUCCAGAGCGUAAUCUGGUUCCAGCUCUAGAUCUAGAGACAACAAUAGACCCAGUUCUUAUAGUUACUCCAGUGCCAGAUCCAGUUCCUCCCCCAGUAUACUAGAGCUGGUACCAGCUCAACAACUAGCACCAGCCCCUGCAGCAUCUCCAGGUCCCGGUCCUUAGCUGCAACUAGUGCCAGCUGCAGCCCCAGAGACUUCCUUCCCCUCCCCUAUAAUUCCACUUUUUAAAAUUUUGUUUUUUUCUUAUAUAUACUCAAUAUUUUACUCUAUUCUAGUGUAUAAAAUUCCCUUAAAAUAAAAUUUACCUCUUUGAUCGUUUUAAGUUGUACACUUACGUGGCAUUAAGUACAUUCACAGUGUUGCACAAGCCCCUUUGCUAUCUGUUCCAGGACAUUUUCAUCAAAGAGAAGCCCUGUCUAUACUAGUCGGUCACUCCUCACUCUCCUCAUCCCAGCCCCUGGCACCAACUGAUCUUCUUUAUCGCUGGAUAGAUUUAUCAAAUCUGGAUUGUCCAUAUCAGUAGAAUCGGAUAAGGUGUGGCCUUUUGUGUCUAGCAAAGUAAUGCAUGAGGAGACUGAUUAAUGAUUGCUUUCUGGUUUUAAUAAAAUUAACAUUUUGGGGGGCCGGCCCCAUGGCAUAGUAGUUAAGUUCAGUGCGCUCCACUUCAGCAGCCUGGUUCACAGGUUCGGAUCCCGGGCACAGAACAAACCACUUGUCAGUCAUGAUGUGGUGGCGACCCACAUACAAAAUAGAGGAAGAUUGGCACAGAUGUUAGCUCAGGGCUAAUCUUCCUCAAGCAAAAAGAGAGGAAUAGUGGCAACAGAUGUUAG